rnacentral:misc_RNA from 1 species
UUGAAUAAAUUUGAACAGGCUGUUUGCUGGUCCUCAGGGACAUGUGCACGCUUGUCAUCUUUAUCUUUCCUCCUGUGCACAUCUUGUAGACCUGGUUUUCUGAUGGUUUUUGAUUCAUUCAGAUUUGAGGAUUGCUUCAUUUUGCUUUCCUUGUUUGUAUUUCCAGGUCUAUGUUUAUCUUAUCACAACCUCUUUGAAAUGUUAAUGAAAUGUAUAAUAAAAAAAAGUUAAUA